rnacentral:rRNA from 1 species
AUGGAUGAUGAGAUUGAAGAACCUACUGAUGGGUCCUUCACAACACGUUUUUCAGCUUCUCGCUUGCGUCAGGUUGCUGAGAAACAUCUGAAUGACGACAAGAGGGGAAUCUUAAAUGAUUGCAACUUUGUUUCUUUGAUGAAUAUUUCCCCCUUUUAUGUACCAGAUGAGCUGCUAGACCGGGUAGUCAUGAAGAUUGACCCUAAACAGGGUUUGUUUAGUCAUAAAGAGAAAGAUAUAUUUGUACUUGAGAAGGUGAGGAACCACGAAAUUGUGACCAUCGAGAGGUCUUGGGUUCUUUUAUGCAUCACGCUUGUGCUAGUGCUUCGCACCGGCAACAUGGUGCCCUUGAGUACCUUGCUAGCCUGA